rnacentral:misc_RNA from 1 species
AAGUCGUAACAAGGUUUCCGUAGAUGAACCUGCGGAAGGAUCAUUAUUGUAUAACCGAGGUGCGAGGGCUGUCGCUGACCCGAAAGGUCGUGCACGCCCGAGUGCCCUCACACACAUCCAUCUCACCCCUAUGUGCACCACCGCGUGGGUCCCCCUUUGGCUUGUUCGGAGGGGGGCUUACGUUUUCACACAAACUUUGUAUGCAGUGUAGAAUGUAUUUUUUGUUUUUGCGAUCACGCAAUCAAUACAACUUUCAACAACGGAUCUCUUGGCUCUCGCAUCGAUGAAGAACGCAGCGAAAUGCGAUACGUAAUGUGAAUUGCAGAAUUCAGUGAAUCAUCGAAUCUUUGAACGCACCUUGCGCCCCUUGGCAUUCCGAGGGGCACACCCGUUUGAGUGUCGUGAAAUUCUCAAAAACCUUUUUCUUUUUGGGAAAGGGUUUUUGGACUUGGAGGCUUUUUGCUGGCUUCACCUUGAAGUGAGCUCCUCCUAAAUGAAUCAGUGGGGUCCGCUUUGCCGAUCCUUGACGUGAUAAGAUGUUUCUGCGUCUUUGGGUUUGGCACUGUCACCUGCUUCUAACUGUCUCAUUGACAAUGAUGGUGCUCCGGUCACCACCGCUCUUAUCGGUGGGAGGCUUGACCCACAAAAACAAAACCUUGACCUCAAAUCGGGUGAGACUACCCGCUGAACUUAAGCAUAUCAAUAAGCGGAGGAAAAGAAACUAACAAGGAUUCCCCUAGUAACUGCGAGUGAAGCGGGAAAAGCUCAAAUUUAAAAUCUGGUGGCCUUUGGCCAUCCGAGUUGUAAUUUAGAGAA